UUUUUUUUUUUUUUUUUUUUUUUUACAGAAUCCCAUUUGAAAUGCACAAAGGGUGCCACUCACUGACUUCCACCCACCAUAGUUGGACAUGCUGAACUGGGAGGGGAGAAAACACAUUUUAUCCAGAUAAAUGCACUGCUCUUCCUUCCAUCCCCAUCCAAUCAGGCGAUUAUAGCAUCGGGCCAGAAUUUCCUCCCACGUUUUGUGCAUAAAACAUCAUUCUGCCACCAGCUGCUCACCAACAUUGUGUUGUCUCCCCAACAGACAAUACAAUGGCAAAACAGUUCAGCAGAGGGUGAUCUGCCAGAAGAACCAAUGAGAUGCAACCCCCUCCAACCAGCCUUCAUUAGGAAGCCGUUUUAUGUUUAGAAAAUAAACCCUCUGAAAUCACUGCCUUCCUGCAUCUGUGUUUCUACCUAGGAAAGAGAGAUGUUCUCUCAAUUCAUAGGUCCUGGGGUGUGGAAGGAACCAAAGAAGGGCUAAGUAUCUGCAAUGAAGGUCACAGGAGGCAGUUACCCAGUUUUUUGGCUGCACCCAUGGCACGUGGAAGUUCCCAAGCCAGGGAUGGAACCUGAGCCACAGUGGUGACAAGGCUAGAUCUCCAGCCCACUGAGCCACCAGAGUACUCCAACACUAGAGGUUUUUAUGCUUUCCACACUCACAGUAUUAAGAGUACUUUGGUAUUUGGUAUUAGUUAUUAGCAGUGUUUAGGGAUAUGAUCGCCUGCCCUGGGCAUCUAUCUUUUGUCAUAUCAGCUGUAUACUUUUUCUUCACUGUUACUCAUUUCCCUUCUGACCUGAUCAUACUCACCACCCACAUCACCUCAUCUACCAUCUCAUUCCUCCCCUUCAACCCUCACUGAGAAUCUACUGAGUUUAAGACGCUUUCUGUGAGAGAAAGGAGGGCUAGGAAGGAGGCAGUAUUUCAAAACAAGACUGGCAGUAGCAUCUUCUGCCUUGCAAGGAGGGGACAAAAUCGUGGGGACACACAUCUUACCACAUUGUCCUUGGCAGAGACGGGAGGGGCAGAAGCAAAGGAGAAAAUGAGGGAACGCACCCUGACCUACCGUGUCCCUGAAGGACAAGCUCAGGGCAAGACGGCUCAUCAUAUUCCAAGCACAUUAAGGAGAGGAUGAAUUAUGCUUCCUGGAGGUCAAGGGCCUGAAAAUGGAAGCUGAGUGCCUUUAACAGACAGUAGACGGAGCUCCAGGGUUCUGUGUCAUCCCCCAGCGCUUCUCCAAAAGAUCAAUAAAGUCGGCCACAUACCUACAAACUUUGUUGAGUUAGGAUUUGUCAAGAGGUGGGUCAGAGCAAAAAGACUGGACCUUACAGUGUGGACAGUGUUAACACGAAAAGGACAAUGAGAAAAUGGGUGGGCAGAAGUCAAUUAACAGAGGAAUAAAGGGGACCCAGAGAGCCUUGGCUUCCCCACUCUCACUGCAUCCCCUGGAAGUUUCAGCAUGGUUGAGGCGUGGAGAUGCCCAUGCCUCAUGGUGUAUGACAUAGAGUUCAAGAAAAUUUCAUCUGAAUAGUCAAGGAUUGGCCACUUUACCUGAUGUCUAUGCAUAUUCAUGAAUUCCCUACAGGGUUAGUCAUACUCCCACUCGAAGGGGUGAGAAAGCAGAGACUUAAGUUAUAUAAUUUGCUCAAGGUAACACAGUUCAAAGCAAAGCUAUAAGGAAGUCAGGCAUUUCUUUUUCUACAAUAUCAAGAUUUACUGAGUGUCUAAAUAUCAAAAUAUCAUAGGUUCCUUAAUUUACAUGACCAUUAUACAAUUUUGCUAGCUUCAUUUUAUGGAUGAGAACAAAAGGUAAUUGUGGUUAAGCAUUUUGAUAAAAACUGUAAUUUUUACUAUGAUUUUAAUUCAUUUCCUUUUCGUUGCCAAACUCUGCAGACUCGGAAAUGAGGGAUACCUAUUGUUUGGGCUGGUUGUCUGGCGUUCUGUUCUAGAAAGAAGGAUGUUUUAAGGGAGGUUCUAAGGUUUAAAAGUAAAGGAGAUGGGUGCCAUGAACUCUACUCCGAGAGACAGAGAAGGAAAACAGGAGUACAUACGGAUGUCACUGAUCAUCUCCAAAGAGUCUGGGACAUCAGCGAGAAAACAUGACAGAGGGGACUUUGGACCUAUUUGAAUCUUAAAAAAAAUGAAUAAAUAACUCUUCUAUGAUUAUAAAAUCUCUAAACCUAUUUGUAUAAUUAGAAAUAUUUGUAUGAAAGUGAAAAUGUUCCAUCUUGUUGUCUUAGCACACAUGAGAUGGUAAGAAGACACGCAGAUGAGAGCCUUCAGAAAGAGGGUAAACCCACAAAAGUUAAGGACCCGACAAACUCACAGGCAUUAGUGGUGGAGGGAGGGACAAUGGACUUCCUACCUGUCAUGAAAUGUUUUUCUGAGUCCAAUCAUUUUUUUUUAAGAUCCUAAGAGUUGGGGUCACUUUCACUGAGACUAGUUGAUUUUCAAAUGUAAACUCUGUCUGACAUUAAAAAAUAGGUUAAGUGAAUCCAAAAUUGUAUUAUUACAGUAAAUUAUGACACAUUUAUACAAAUGGGGUGUCUUUGAAACUACGGGAAGACCAUUAUUGCCAUCUUUCUCCAAGUUGCCUUAGCUCAUAGCCAAGCAGAAGUGAUGGCCAGCAGAGUCAGGGGUCAUACUCAGUCCUAGUUGACUGUCGCAAGUGGGCUCCUGGCCUCACUGCAUCAGGACGUCUGUCAGCUAAGCAGGAGGCUGUGCCUGAUGAUGGGGAGCACGUUCCCACGGUCAUCCUUGAACUUGUGAGCUGGGUGGGACAGCCUUGAAAUGAGUUCAACUGCAGGCACUGGGCUAGAACAAUUUAGGCAGCCCCUAUCACAUAGAUAUAAGAAUAAUUUAUCAGGGGGUUUCUGUCGUGGCGCAGCGGAAAUGAAUCCAACUAUGAACCACAAGUUUGUGGGUUCCAUCCCUGGCAUUUCUCAGUGGGUUAAGGAUUCAGCGUUGUGGAUCUGGUGUUGCUGUGGCUCUGGCAUAGGCUGACAGCAAUAGCUCUGAUUAGACCCCUAGCCUGGGAACCUCCACAGGCUGUGGGUGCAGCCAUAAAAAGAUAAA
rnacentral:lncRNA from 1 species